CACGUAGGGACCAAGCGUUGUUCGGAUUUACUGGGCGUAAAGGGCGCGUAGGCGGCAAUUCAAGUCAUCUGUGAAAUCUCCGGGCUUAACCCGGAACGGUCAGGUGAUACUGUUUUGCUAGAGUGCGGAAGGGGCAAUCGGAAUUCUCGGUGUAGCGGUGAAAUGCGUAGAUAUCGAGAGGAACACCAGAGGUGAAGACGGGUUGCUGGGCCGACACUGACGCUGACAGCGCGAAAGCCAGGGGAGCAAACGGG
rnacentral:rRNA from 1 species